rnacentral:rRNA from 1 species
GGAAUAUUGGGCAAUGGAGGAAACUCUGACCCAGCGACGCCGCGUGCGGGAUGAAGGCCUUCGGGUUGUAAACCGCUUUCAGCAAGGAAGAAGCGAAAGUGACGGUACUUGCAGAAGAAGCACCGGCUAACUAUGUGCCAGCAGCCGCGGUAAUACAUAGGGUGCAAGCGUUGUCCGGAAUUAUUGGGCGUAAAGAGCUCGUAGGUGGUUCGUCACGUCGGAUGUGAAAAUCUGGGGCUUAACCCCAGACCUGCAUUCGAUACGGGCGAGCUAGAGUGUGGUAGGGGAGACUGGAAUUCCUGGUGUAGCGGUGGAAUGCGCAGAUAUCAGGAGGAACACCAAUGGCGAAGGCAGGUCUCUGGGCCAUUACUGACACUGAGGAGCGAAAGCGUGGGGAGCGAACAGGAUUAGAUACCCUGGUAGUCCACGCCGUAAACGGUGGGCACUAGUUGUGGGAACCUUCCACGGUUUCUGCGACGCAGCUAACGCAUUAAGUGCCCCGCCUGGGGAGUACGAUCGCAAGAUUAAAACUCAAAUGAAUUGACGG